UUGUGAAAUGCAGAAUCCCGUGAAUCAAUUCAUGUUUGAAUGUGUCUGGCAUCUUUGGGAUAUGCUUGAAGAUAUGUUCGAUUCAAUGUCGAAUGUGUUUGUAUGAAUGUGUACAAUGUGUUUGAGUGAUCACCUUGCACAUUUGUUGUUGUAUGUAUAACUU
rnacentral:rRNA from 1 species